GACAGACACAGACACCAGGCGGGAUGGUCACUUCUCGGCCACCUGCUAAGCUCCUCUCCGCGCGGGUUAAUCCUGGAGAUUUAAAGGCCCACUCAUGGCUCUAAUCCGCUCCCCCUCAAGCUGCAGAGGGGGGCGGACGUCAGUAAUCUCUACACCCAUCGUGGGGCUCGAACUCACAGCCCUGAGAUCAAGACUCACAUGCUCUUCACACAGAGCCAGCCAGGUGCCCCAGGGCCCAGCCCAGAUGUCACCGCCUCCGGGAAGCUGUCCCUGCUUCUGAGGAAGGGAUUGACUUAUGUGGGAGAGGCCACACCUCAGCACAGCAGAGGAGGGAGAGAGGCCUAUUGUCUGGAAGACUGUUCCACUCUAAAAUCGCAGAGAGGAGUCCUUGCCUCUGCUGCCACCACACCCGCUCCAGACUGGGCACCUCGCUGCUUCGACCCCUGUCGGGGCCAUGGACUUCCCCGAGCUGCAGAGUAGCCCUGGAAGGGACUCGUCAUCCUUAAGCCCAUCCUUCAGAUGUGGAAACCGAACACCUCCCAUAUGCCAGACCCCGUGUUCGCACCCGGGACCUACAACGGUGAGUAAUGCAGAGAGCCCUCAGAGAGCUCCUGGGGUACCAUCAAAUGGUGCAGCCUCUUUGUUCCUGCCAUGUCUUAGCUGGGCGAUGUUGGUGACCUUGUUAACCUCUCUGUGCCUCAGUAUCCCCUGCUGUGACCUGGCUACCUCAUAGGAUAUUUUGAGGACUGAGUGGGAAAUGCCAAAUGAGUGUUCACGGUGACUAAAUGACCCGCCAGGACAGAAUGUAAAAGGGGCCGAGAAGGAAGUAGCAUGGGACACUCGGGAGCACAUGGAGGGAGGAGAGUUUGGAACAAGGUAUUGUCCAGAAGACUUGUGAGCAGAGGCUGAAAUUCGAAGAGGUAGAAGAAGAGGGAGGAAGGGCAUCCAGGCAAAGGCAACAGCAUAUGCGAAGUGAUAAGGCGCUGGUUUUCAACUCUAGCAUGGACAGUCACCUGGGAGCUUUAAAAAACUGCAGACCCCCAGGCCCCACACACAGAUUCUGAAUCCAUCAUUUUGGGUGGGUCCCAGGAAUCUGCUUUCCACGGACUGUUCUAGAAAUCCGGAGGCGGGUACUCUACGCCUAGAGACCAUGGCUGCAGUGGUUCUGAGUGUCCCAGGUUGGGAGGAGCUGAGCUACAGUAGGAGAGGCCCCUGGCCAUGUGACCCGUGUCCUGAAAACACACCGCAGGCCCCCAGUUCUCUCCAUCUGUUCAAAUCAUGCUUGCCCUUCAGUGGUGACCUUCCCGAAACAGCUCUGGCCUUUCGCUUACCUGCUGGAAACAUCCCAUGGUUUCUCUGCUGCCCACAGGAGAAAGGCUAGGCUCCCCGGACCGGCACUGUGGCCCUUCGUGAGGCCUCCCUCCCCAGCCUGGGUCCAGACCCCGACUCUCCAGCCAUGCCGUUCCCCAAGUGCCUGGUGUUCCCUCCAUAUCUCUGCACAUGCUGUUCCCUCUGCCAAAAAUGCCUUCCCCUCUCCCCCUCUCCCUGGCAAACCUGGACUCCUCUUAGCAAGUCCAUCUGUGAAGCUGGCCCCAAAGUCCACUGGGCAGGCAACCUCCCCCACCGCCAGGGCCCUAGCUGUCCUUGGAAUGCUCCCCCCUUAACCCAUAUUCUGUGUCAAAACAUUCACCAGUUUAUGGGCCUUGUUCCCCACCAGGCUGGGGAAUGCUCCUCCCUUUCUCCAGUGCCUAGCACAGAAUUUGGGGAUGACAAUGAUAAUUGAGCUUUUAAGGUGAGAGGAGCUGCUGAGCAAAAGUUUGAUGAACGAAUGAGUGAUUGAAUGAAUGAGCGAAUGAUCCUCUCUGCUUUCUGAUACAUGAAGAGCAGGGGGACAGAGGGAGAGAGAAUUUGGAGGCAGAGAAGAGAGAUGUUCUGGGGACACUAAAGGAUGGCUCACAAAGACCAAUAAGCAUGUGUCAGGCCCAGACAGGGAGGGGGGACAGGGCUGCCUGGAGGCAGGACCUGCUGGGUGUCCUAGCUUCCUUCCCGUCCCAGAAGUCCCCAGAAGUGGCACCCUGUUGGGAGAAGGGGUGGCUCAGCUCCUCUCCCAGCCCUGAAGCCCGCUCCCCCAGCCUGGGGUUCUCUGUUUGAUCCCGAGGGCUGUGCCAGCAGCUGGGGCUGGGUGCGGGGACAGGCUGCCCACCCCAUUCUAGCCCUGCCCCUGGCCCAUGGGUCUUUCUUCCUCCCUGAAUGAGUCUAGCCUGGUGCACGUGCACGUACACAUACAUGUCAAAUCUCCCAGAGGCGUGUCUCCGGUACCUGUCCGCUUUGCAGUCACCUCCCCCCAACGCCCAGCCUCUUUGUCCUCUUUCCAUCCUUCCCUCCACCCCAGUGCAGCCAGAGUGGGCUUCCUAAAGGGCAGAUCUGACCAGUUCAUGACAAUGCUACAAAGCCUCCCAUGACUUCUGUUGCUUUCCAAAUAAAUCCUCUGCUCUUACAGUGGUUCCUAAGGUAUUUCUCGACCUGGCUGGGACUUCUUCACUCCCCGCUGGGCUGCCCUCCGCCGUUUAUUCUCAGGCAUUCCCUGUGUGCUACGGCUGCAUUAGAUUAUUCACCAGGACUUUUCAUACCUUUGUGCCUAUGCUGUUCUCUGGGUGUCAUGCCCCAGCCUUCUCUGUCUGGCACCUUCCCUGUCAUUCUUGAAAGCCCAACGUAAAUGCCCCCCUCCCAGAAGCCUCCUCUGGCUGCCCACAUCACCAUGGUCAUCUUAGCCUUGGCAGAACCUCAACAGGUCGUCAAUGUCAGUUCCCUCAUGCCUGCCUUUCCCACUAGUCAGGGAGUUCCUCAGGUUCAGGGUUGGUGUCUGGUUCACCUGUGUCCUCAGUGCUCAGACCGGACCCAGAAAAUAGGAGGCACUCAGUAGAUCUUGCCCGUGUGGUCUCACACUCAGAUGAUGGCCACUGAGCGCACUGGGUUUAAUCCUUUCCUGAGUCACUUCUUAUAGCACACUUGGGGGCAGGUAGCAUUACGUCCAUUUUACAAGGGAGGAAACAGAUGUGGUCGUGGAGGUUGGGGCCCAAAUGAGAUCAGAGUCCAGAAGACUGGCAAUCGCCUAAGCUUUCUUCUUAGGUCUUGUUGGAUUCAGGUUCUCACCUUUCCUGGGGGAUGUAUGACCCUCACAUGCUCCUCUUUUCCCCUUAGCAGCUCUGGCCUUCCCCACCUUGGUCCCGGGCUGACUGUCACAGGGCCCAAAGCCAUCCUCACCAAGGGAAACCCACAGCCAGCAGACUCCAAAGGUGUGCUCCACCUAAGAGGGAAGGGGGGGUGGUGGUGGAAGGUUCUCCCCACAGGUCUCCCGGGCUCCCUUGGGAAGUGGCUCUUCCCAUGUCCAGCCUUCAAAUGGCCACUAAAAGCCAGCUUUUUAAAGAAUCUUUAAAGACAUCAGAGGAUUCUCAUGAUAGAGUGAAAAAUGGGAUGCUGGCUUCCCUCAGCAGUGUGCUCCCGGUUUUUAAACUCUAUGUAUCUAUGAACACAUGGACAAAAUCCUGGAAAAAAUACCCUCCCCCCGCCCCCCACCUUCUGAUGUUCACGGUGGCUAUCUCUGGGUGGUGGGACUACAGAUGAUUUCCAUUUUCUCCUUGGCUUCUCUACUUCUCAGGUCGUCUCGCACAAGGAAGGUGUACUAUGUUUAGAAUCACAAGAAUCCAAUGAAACUUGCUUUUAUCUACCUGUCUCCAUCCCGGGGAGUUUGGGGGGAUGGUGGUGGGGAUGGAGCUCAGUAUGGGAGGGGUCUCGGAGCCACAGGCCAUACUCAAAGCUAGGAAUAAAAUAGAUAGGCCAAGAGCUCCCCAGCUCAGUGAGCUGCCUGCACCCCGGGGUUCGAUUCACUGGGCCCAGACCGCCUCAUAGGCCUCAAAGACCCCGGCAAGAUGCUAAGGGAAGUAUGCUCUGCCUGCCAGCUCCAGCUGGCACAGAAGCCUCUGCGGUGGGCAAGAGGCCAGGCUGGGGGCGGCAGGAGGCUGAGGCCAGGCUGAGUGCCCAGGAAGCAGUGCCGCAGGUGGAUGGGCUGGCGGCUUUUGGCUGGGGACAGGGGUGUCCCUGGGGGUCGGGGGCUGCUCUGAAGCCAAAGCACACAUGGCCACUGUGGCCUUUCUCCCAGGCCAAGGGCCAGCUUGGGUAGCCUGGACCUGGUCACUUGCCCAGGCCCCCUGAGCCCCCCAUUCUGGAUGACAUGGAGUCAACAGGGCUUGGCCUCUAGGGGUGGAGCUGUCACCCUCCUGUGCUCGUGACCCAGAAGAAGGAGAAGGGGCAGAACCCAGAGGUGUCAGCAGGCACCAAAGCCACAGUGAAAAACCUAGCCUGGGCCAGGCUGGGGUCUAUAACUGUUGGUGAUGAGCCUGUCAUAAGCCCCCUCAGCUCCUUUGGGCCUCCUACCUUCUCACUGACCUCUUCCCCCCCACCCCCACCAUAGAGCAGCCCACCCCCCUUCCUCUCUGUACCCACUCUGAGUGCCCUCUCUGAUCCUCCCACCUCUCUGAGCCCCUGACCUUUCUGCUGGGCCCAGGUGGGUGUUAGAAUUGAGAAGGAACUUUUCCCUUUCUUGCCUGGCUUUCCCUCCCCACUCGGACUGGACUAGUCACCAGGCAGACUCACUCCCUCUACAGGGCCCUGCAUCCUCUCUUUAGAGCAUCAGCUGCAAAAUCCCUCCCUCUCCCCACGACACCAUGAAUAAGCCUCAAGCACUGCACUCCUGCUGCUUCCGUGGAUUUGGGGCCUGUGUAUGUGUGUCCUGGAAGCCUCCUAGAGUCUGGUGAACAACUCUGGGGGGCGUGUGGAGGGCACCUUCAGUGUCCCUGCAGGUCACCUCAAGUCCUGGGCCAGGAAGGCUAAAUCCUGGCUCAGCCAAAGAAUCUGGGGUCUCCAGGUAAGCCACUGGGCCUCUCCAAGCUUUGUUCCCCCCCUUUAGUUAAGACCCCAAGUUCGUAGCUGGGAGGGACAGGUGAAUUUUAAAUCUCAGCUCCAACUAAUAACUCAAACCUUGAAACACUUGGCGGUGACUUCUAUCUCUGCCAAUAGAACCAUGGGCUUCCCGACACACAGAUUUAUAGGGCAGAGAGAUCUUAAAAUCGUCACGAUGGCAGGGCUUUCGGGGGGUCAUUCGGUCAAACCCCAUCAUUUUAUGGCUGAGGACACCAAGGCCCAGAGACAGGAAGGGACCUGCUCAAGGUCACACAAGCAGCCAGGGUCAGAGAUGGGCCCAGAAGGAAGGUCCUUGGGAUCCUGUCCCAGAGCCCUUCAGAUGCCUGUGCCACACACCUCCUCCCACCUCCCGCCGGCCCACAGUGCCCUGGUUGACCCUCACUCAGGAGAGCCUGGGGAAUUGAGGACAGAGUGAUGUUGUGGAAGCCUCGCUGGGCCCCUGCGGCAGUGGGUGUGGGCUGCACCAAGACCUUGCUCUGUGACCUUGGGAAAGUCACAUCACUUCCAGGCCCGGUUUUGCUCCUCUGUGAAAGGGAUCAAGGCCACCUUUGAUACCGGGUUACGUGAGGAUGAAGUGAAGCAACGUACAUGAAGUGACAGGUCCAUGGCAGGGGCUCAGAAUAUGGGAAGGAGUCAAGGGAGAGGGUGAGUUCCCCUCAUCUCUUUAGCAGAACCCCUGAUGGCUGCUGGGACAGGAGGAGCCUUGAUUCUGCCCCUGGGGCAGCAAGCAGUGGGCGGAGGAAGAGAAAAGUCAGCAGGGGAGGCUGACCCCAGCAGUACUAGCAGUGGCUUGUGACCAUGGCCCCAUCUCGGUGGGGGGGCGGGGGGGGGCUAACCGCUCAGAAAGGAACAGGCAGUCACUGGCUUGCUGAGGUCAGCAAGAGGCUGGCAGGCAGAGGAGGUGAGAAGUGGAUACGGCAGUGAGCAGUUGGGCCUGCCAGACCCAGACUCCCCCUCUGGCAGGCGUGACAGUGGCAGGGGUGCGUUGUGGUGGGGGCACGCAGCUGGCCAGUUCAAAGCACAUUCUACCUCCAAAUAUCCCAGUGACCUUGGGGGAGUCAGCUCCUCACUGCACUGCACACCCUCACUCAUAUGCCUCAGGCUCCCCACCUGGAAAGCGGGCAUCAUGAAUCAAGAAACUGGCAUUUAAGUGGGCCUUGAUAUCAAGGGGCUGGGACAGGUCAUCAGCUGCACCCAGGGAAGACAGCUUGGGUGCUUCGUGACCUUGGGAAAGCUACUCGAGUCUCAUUUCUCAGCUGUGAAAUAGGGACAGCGAUGGCUUCCCUGAAGUUUUUGUGAGGAUUGACUGAAUCAACAGUAGCACUGUGCCAAGCGUGGAGCCUGCUCCAAGGCCCUCAGCCAGUGUCCCCCUCCUCUGGGAAGAGAAAGAUGUGCUUCAAACAAUGCUAAGAACUUUCCCACCUUUAUCCAGCUCCUCCUUAAGAAAUUCUUACUUGCAUUCAACUGACAAACACUCCCCCAGAAUUUUACAGCCCCAAAGUAGUUUCUCAGUCCUUAUCUGGAUUAUUUCUUGGAAUAGCCAAGUAGACACUGUUAACAUAACACCUGUUUUACAGAUUAGGAAACGGGCUCCGAAAGGUUAAGUGGCUUACCUGAAGUCAUGUAGCUUAGAUUUGAACCCAUGUCUCUCAGACUUCAGAGUCCAUGACACCCUACCCACCUACCCCCCACCUCUUAAGAUCCAAUCAAGUCUUUAUUCACCCUUCAAGAAUUCCUCCUCCACCCCUCACAGGAGAGUGGGAUGGGGCAUAAAGUUAAGGAACCAAAAAGCUGGUAAUGUGUGGGAGCGAUUUCCUAGCCAGCUUGGUCCUAUUUCUGGCUGGGGGAGAAUUUGGUACAUGUCGGGGCCAUGACCUUAAGAUGCACAGAGAAACUCUCCAGCUCCUGCCCUGCUCUCCGCCUAAGUUCCUGCCUUUUCCCUUGACACAGGACAAAAGGCCAGCCCAGGCCCUCUGAUGCCAGAAGUGGGCAAGUGAGUGUGGUCUUAGGGGAGUGAGAAGUCAUGGCUGGGACAGAGCAUAGGCAUUGGAGUACCAGGCCAGACCUGGGUGCCCUUCUUUCUCUACCCGCCAAACCCAUCCCCACAAUGGACCUGCUGCCAGGAGCAGGAACUGCAGGAAGCUUCAACACUGCCCAGGCAGGAGCCCUGGGAGGGGGG